UACGUAGGGGGCAAGCGUUGUCCGGAAUCAUUGGGCGUAAAGAGCGUGUAGGCGGGAAGGAAAGUCAGAUGUGAAAUCCCUGGGCUCAACCCAGGAACUGCAUUUGAAACUCCCUUUCUUGAGUGUCGGAGAGGAAAGCGGAAUUCCUGGUGUAGAGGUGAAAUUCGUAGAUAUCAGGAGGAACACCGGUGGCGAAGGCGGCUUUCUGGACGACAACUGACGCUGAGACGCGAAAGCGUGGGGAGCAAACAGG
rnacentral:rRNA from 1 species